UCAAAAAUUGCGGGAACCAUUUUUCGUUCUUGCUUUUUUCCGGGACCCAACUAUCAUACUUGCAGCAUUUACUUCAAUUAUCAGUUUAAUGGGCAGCUUCGCUCUCUUGUCAUGUAAAUUAAAGCUUAUAUUAUAUGAAAUCGUUUCGCAGUAGUUUAAAUCCAGCAUUAAAUUCAACCGGGCAGUUAAUCAAAAGAUUGUUCUAGUGCCAUCAAUUUGGGUUUCCAGAUUUGUACGUUGACUUCAAACUCAUGUUUUUCAUGAGCGCUGAUGUUUUUCAUGUAUGAUGGUGUCUUAAAAUCUGGUGAAAUUAUUUUCAUUCAUAUAACAGCGCAGUAAUCAAUUUGGUUCAUUCGACUGAUUUAUGCUAAAAGUAUAAUCCCCAUUAACUAUGUGCAAUGAAUUCUUUACUGUCGAUCUGUUUUAGUUUUAACGUUUUUCAGGUUUUUAUCAAACUCUGGUUGAAAGCAGAUCCAUUGGCUGUUUUAGCGUGUAAAUAUGUUUUCUUCGGAUUUGUACAAAAUUUAUAGUUUUAAAAAUCGCAAGUUUGUUAAUUUAGCAGUAAAUUAUUUAUGAAAAUCAAAUUGAUAAGGCAAUGUGUUUUGAUAGCUAUGUUAAUUAUUGAAUGAAUAAUUUAGAAUUCAUAUUUUCA